GAUGAAGAACGUAGCGAAAUGCGAUACUUGGUGUGAAUUGCAGAAUCCCGUGAACCAUCGAGUCUUUGAACGCAAGUUGCGCCCGAAGCCAUCAGGUUGAGGGCACGUCUGCCUGGGCGUCACAUAUCGUUGCCCAAUGCCUAUUGCAGUGCAAUAGGAAUUUCUAGGGCGAAUGAUGGCUUCCCGUGAGCGUUGUUGCCUCGCGGUUGGUUGAAAAUCGAGUCCUUGGUAGGGUGUGCCAUGGUAGAUGGUGGUCGAGUUAGAAUGAUACCGAUCAUGUGCAUGCUCCCCAAAAUAUGGCCUCUAUGACCCACACGCGUCUUUUGACGCUCAUGACGAGACCUCAGGUCAGGCGGGGCUACCCGCUGAAUUUAAGCAUAUCAAUAAGCGGAGGA
rnacentral:misc_RNA from 1 species